GCAGAAGUUGCCCGAAAAUGUUCCAAUACCUGCCUAAGACGAACAAGCAGUGUUCUCUGAUUAAAUCUUGAAAACUGAGUGUUAGUGCAGUGACAGUCAUAUAGGAAUAGAUUAGGAUGUUUUAUGAAUAUCAUAAGUAAAUAGAAGAUAUCAGCUUGGGUACUGUCAUAUCAUAGCUGUUUGAAGUUGCACUGUUCACAGAAAACAGAAGAGGGGUUACCUCUGUUAGAAUGGAACCGUAUUCAAAACUUUAAUCAAGGUUCUACAUAUAGCAAUUCAAAUGUUACCUGAUCCUCAGUUCGAAGAUCUCGUAUCAUUUGGCGUCUUCUGUUUCUAUCGAAUAUGGCGCCCCCUUAAACAGGGGAGGCUUAAAUUUAAAUAAUGGCAGCUAACAGAAGAUUCCAUAUGACUGUUGAUCAUUUCCUCCAGUUGGCGAAACGUUGGUCGUUCUUUGGGCUCCGUUUUCCAACAGUUUGCCAUUAUUACUCCGAAGAAAUUUGGCGCAUUUUCUGGUUUUUCCAUGCGUGAAGAGCUCCCAGAGUAAAACACCAAAUGACCAGACGUCGGAUUGACUGGAGAAAAUUCGAGCAGUUAGGGAUUCAAUAGCCAUCCAUUUUACCGGCAUUAGUCCCUUUCAAUCAAAGAAUCAUCGUUGCCCUCGUAGUACAUUUUUUUAGCCAUUCCAAAGUCAGCCACUUUGACAACUCCGUCGUCAGCUAACAAAACGUUGCGAGCGGCCAAAUCACCGUGAAGAACCUUGAAAGCAAAUAAUUGCGAUUUUCUACAUUACGGGGACAAAAAGAACGUUAAAUUUCUAGCUCUUCCAUCUUCCAGCCUAACUGAUGAAAGAAAUCAGAGAAAUAGGACAACUUGAAGAAUAUUCGAGAUAGGCCUAAUCUAAAAGGUCCAAGCGACUUUCGUAGAAGCCAUGGAGAUGCCGCAUCAACUUUAUUUCGUAUUCUUUCCUCAUUUGAAUUCCUGAUGUCAGUAAAGCACGGUGGAUUAGUUUUAUUUAUAAUUUGCAUGGGACCGGUAUCAUUGAUCCUGUAGUACCAUUCAGGUGGUGAGGGGAACCCCUUUCGCAUUUUAUCGUUAAUCUCCCCAUCGGUGUGGAUGAGGCAAAUUAACGUGACGUUGCUUCCUUCUACCGGAUCGUCGGAAUCGCCAAUUCGAGUCAAUUCCAUCCCUACAACAUUUUAACUUUUAGAUAGGCAGGUAACGUCCAUGAAAUGUUGGUGCUGUCAAAUCCAUCAUAAUAUUUGUAAACACAAGUUAGCGUUAGCGUGGAAUUUGCUUCGACCACCUGCUCCUUGACAUUUGGAAUCAUCUGCAAUCGUUGCGCACCACUUCGAUUGACAGCCAGGAUGAAGCAAAAUGUUAGAAGUACCAACUUUACUGAACUGUGUGGCAUCUGAAACCCAUAAUUGAGGAUAUUUUUUCGGUUUCACAAUGGCUGUCGAAAGUAACAAAUUUGCGUUCACGCGCUUCCGCCAGCAAGCGUCAAAACUUGAAUGUUACAUGAAGUGAAAGGCCGUGUAGCACUAGACCUUACGUCCACCGAAUGCAAUAGUCUCCUUCACUGGACUAACAAAAAAGGGGCAAGUUAUAGGUCGAAUCGAUAGGAGGCUGGGCCGUUACGAUGGCGACCAACCGAUUUUUCCGCUGGAUAGGUUCCAAAGAGACAAACCGGAUAUGCGCGUUCCGACCCAUAUGUAACUAGUUCUUUAUGAAAGCUUGAUCUUCGCGAUUCGCACUUGUUGCGUUACAAACGGGAGUAAUCCCCAUUUCCCGAUAGUUGGCAAACCACUUUUGAAUCGCCCAAUUCGGAACAUCGGCCUUAGAAAUCAUCCGCGUCACUAUUCUCGAUUGGCUUAAUCCGGAUGUUUGGUCCAAUCGAAAACUUGGGGUGCUUUUUCGACUGAAUUGCCUUUCGUAGUUGGAUUCUGUUGUGGCAAUAACGUCGAUUACUUUCACAGCCAUUAUUUCGGUGGUUAUGCCCUCCCACUUAAUUCAUCCAUGAAUGAAAUAGGAAGCGACAGACCGUGCACAAGGCCAUUAAACUUGCUUCGUGGCGUUCACGUGGUAUUACAUGGAGUUUUCAUUGCUAACAAGGCUAUCAUAGUAGGAACACUACUAAAUUCGUUUUGAUAGACAUGCAAAAUGGUAAGUGCUGUUUUUUAUUUGGCGGUUUUUAAAACUCUGCAUUUUUCCCCUUAUUUUGUAUGGAAUAUUUAUGCGUGAGAAUAAGUGUUUGUGCAGUACAUCACCUUCAAUGCAGAAAAUGCUGAAGACUCUUGGCAGCAUAAUCGAUUUCCAGGGCGUAGACGAAUUUGUAGUUUACACAGAAAAAUUAUGUGCUGGAAACGCCCCGCGAAAAAUUGCAUGUCUCCAUACUAUCAAUCCUCUGAACGGUUCUUAGUUACACUAACAUGUCAAUCAAUUGGUUUGCGUUAUUAGUUAUGCUAAACUACCUCUGCAAAGUUUGAAGUUUAGGGCUGUUAAAUAUCCGCACCAUCCAUUCAUCUUCUUCUGUCCUAUUUUCUCGCCACUCCUUUAACGUUACCGGUGAGACGCGAUAACGGCAUGGAUCAGACAUUAUUUUGUCAUAGAUGGAUAUAAACUCUCAUCGCUACCCGAUAAAAAGAAAACAACAUGCAGAGGUCUAACCAAAAGCACCAAGAUUGCUUUUGUUACAUAUCCACAAGAAAACAUUGCUUUGAAUUUCCCACAUGAUCGACAUACAUAUCCUGAAAGAAAAUUGGAUAGAUUCGCACUGGAAUCUCCAACGCGAACAUCUACCAACCAUUGUUGCGGUAAAUUCGAAUGACAGGACUUCAGUUUUUACAGUUUUACUUAUGAUCUCAGUCCAACUGUACCAAUAUUGUUAAACAGGUUAAGAAGCCCUAUGUAUUUUCUACGAUGAUAGCUUAAAUCAACCCUACUUGUAUGUACUGUACUUUUUUAACGAAUCAAAUUCCGAACGCCAGGACUUUACGUAUCAAUUUUCUCAACUGAGAGCCUAAUGGCCUAAUGCAACAUGACGUCUUAAACCUGCAGAGAGAGAAUUCCACGAACAAAACAGAAAAUAAUUAAAGAGCUUCUCGAAAGGUCCUUAGAGAAAUCAAUUACUGUAAUUUGAUUACCUGGACUCAGGUAACAAGUAGUUAGUAAGAAGCAUCUAGUGGAGAAAUAAGCAACUGCUUUGACAUUUUACGGCUAGUUCGUGGUUUCGUUUUUGCUCAGCGUCCAUUAAGUUAAGCGUGGUAGUCAUGAUGGACGUCUCUCUUAACAGGAAUUUCUGCACUAAUUUCAUAGUUUGAUACAUAUAUUGUGCUAUUAUUUAACCCUCACUUCUAUUCGUGAUUAACUUGCGAGCAAGAAUCAGCUUUGGGAUUAUGAGCUCUUAACAAAUACCAGAACAAGCCAUACUCAAGUUUUAGCACAAAACUUGUAGUUGCACAACCAUGAUUCUUCCUGAACACCUAUGCAGUAUGGAAUGCUUGACAGGUGAAUGGCAAUGAGUAUAACAUAUGCUAUAUGUGGGAAAAGCCUGGCAGAAUGUGGUAUCAAUGAACAUCAUAAGGGAGCUCAUAGGCAUAAAUUGAAUUUUCUUAAAAUGAUUUUGAGAUUUACCCUUUUGAUUCCUGGAACUAUAGGAUUAAGGAAAUCAUAAAUGCCCUCAAAGACCACCAGCACACCUGUUAUCCCCACCCAGAUCCAAAUUGAUUAUAACCCAGAAAAUAUGUUACCAAUUAAGUUUAACAUUUUCUAAAUUCCUUUUUUUUUUUUUAUGGAUGUGAAGGCUAAAGGCUUUUUAAAUUAGCAAUAUGUAGGUGUUGUGGCUUCCAUACAGUGUCGUUUACCAUUAUUCUAUGUUGAAAAGAGAAUCAUGUAACCAAUUUUCUAUUUCCAGAUAAGCUGAAGCAAUGAAUAAGACAUUGAAAGGAUAGCAAAUGAUCGCAGACAUUUUUGAGAAGAAAAACUAGGAAAGAAAAAUAUAGCGCUUUUGCAAGUUGGUGCUUUUCCAGUAUGGACAUUGCAUGAUGUGUGUGGCGUGCUUAGUAAAUGGUUGCCUGAUUGCAAAUGACAGCUGGACUAACAUUUUAGUUCAAACAUAUCACUAUUUGGUUAUGUUUUCGAAAUUUACGUUCAAAAUGAGCUUCAAGAUUGAAGUAGAAAAUGUUAUAUUAACUGGCUGGAUUCCUAUUUAUUAACAUUUGAAACCAAAUUCACCACAUUACAAAUGUUUAGUUGGUCCAAAUCCGUUCGAUACCGCUGAUGAUUUAUCCCGUAUCCGUAUGUCCAUAUGGAGGAGUUGGCGAUGGCUGUUCUAAAUUCCACUUAGGGAAGAACAAGGAUGAUGGUAAUAGUUGGUACUAUUUUGACUAUAGCGACGUCCACGAAGCUAGCGAGGAGUCUACUGACUAAGCCCGUAUAUGACCGACCUCCGUUAACGAAGUCUGUUCCAGCUCCUGUCCACAAUACGCGCGCAAAGCGAAAGACAACAAACUAUAGCGAAGAAGAUUUUCACUUGAGUUAAUUGCUUGGAACUCAUGGUUAUCCCGGUUUCAAUGCUUAUCCUGGUGUUCAUAUCAAGUCAUGUUUAGUUUUCACAUGGAAAUCAGACUAGAAACUUUCCAACUAUAAGACUAUAGAAGGAUUGCACAGAUUAUUUUUUGAAGUAAGUUCCAUAAACAAAUAUUUUUCUGUUGA
rnacentral:lncRNA from 1 species